rnacentral:rRNA from 1 species
UACGAAGGGGGCUAGCGUUGUUCGGAAUCACUGGGCGUAAAGCGCACGCAGGCGGAUUGAUAAGUCAGGGGUGAAAUCCCGGAGCUCAACUUCGGAAUUGCCUUUGAUACUGUCUGUCUUCGAGUUCGGGAGAGGUGGGCGGAAUUCCUAGUGUAGAGGUGAAAUUCGUAGAUAUUAGGAAGAACACCAGUGGCGAAGGCGGCCAACUGGCCCGAUACUGACGCUCAUGUGCGAAAGCGUGGGGAGCAAACAGG